UACGAAGGGGGCUAGCGUUGUUCGGAAUUACUGGGCGUAAAGCGCACGUAGGCGGAAUGUUAAGUCAGGGGUGAAAUCCCGGGGCUCAACCCCGGAACUGCCUUUGAUACUGGCAUUCUCGAGUCCGGAAGAGGUGAGUGGAAUUCCGAGUGUAGAGGUGAAAUUCGUAGAUAUUCGGAAGAACACCAGUGGCGAAGGCGACUCACUGGACAUGUAUUGACGCUGAGGUGCGAAAGCGUGGGGAGCAAACAGG
rnacentral:rRNA from 1 species